rfam:Ornithorhynchus anatinus chromosome 7, whole genome shotgun sequence.
AGCAGUGUGGCCUAGUGGAUAGAGCAUGGGCCUGGGAGUCAGAAGGACCUGGGUUCUAAUCCCAGCUCUGCCA